UACGUAGGGGGCGAGCGUUGUCCGGAGUACUGGGCGUAAAGCGCACGCAGGCGGUCUGCUAAGUUUGGGAGUGACAGUUGGUGGCUUAACUGCCAAAAGUGCUUCGAAAACUGACAGACUUGAGGGCUUCAGAGGGACACGGAAUUCCGGGUGGAGUGGUGAAAUGCGUAGAGAUCCGGAAGAACACCGGUGGCGAAGGCGGU
rnacentral:rRNA from 1 species